AAUCAACGCUGGCGGCGUGCCUCAGACAUGCAAGUCGAACGCUGCUGUUCGCCUUCGGGUGGACAGUGGAGUGGCGCACGGGUGAGUAACACGUAGGUAAUCUACCUUUGGGUGGGGAAUAACAGCCGGAAACGGCUGCUAAUACCGCAUAAUGCAGCGGCACCACAUGGUGACAGUUGUUAAAGCGGGGGAUCGUAAGACCUCGCGCCUAAAGAGGAGCCNGCGGCAGAUUAGCUAGUUGGUAGGGUAACGGCCUACCAAGGCUACGAUCUGUAGCCGGCCUGAGAGGGCGGUCGGCCACACUGACACUGACAUACGGGUCAGACUCCUACGGGAGCAGCAGUCGGGAAUUUUGGGCAAUGGGCGCAAGCCUGACCCAGCAACGCCGCGUGAAGGAUGAAGUAUUUCGUAUGUAACUUCACAAGAAUGGGAAGAAUAAGUAGAGACUAAUACCCUCUACGAUGACGGUACC
rnacentral:rRNA from 1 species